UACGGGGGGGGCAAGCGUUGUUCGGAAUUACUGGGCGUAAAGGGCUGGUAGGCGGCCAACUAAGUCGGAUGUGAAAUCCCCAGGCUUAACCUGGGAACUGCAUCCGAUACUGGUCGGCUUGAAUCCGGGAGAGGGAUGCAGAAUUCCAGGUGUAGCGGUGAAAUGCGUAGAUAUCUGGAGGAACACCAGCGGCGAAGGCGGCACUCUGGGCUGGAACUGACGCUGAGGAGCGAAAGCGUGGUAGCAAACAGG
rnacentral:rRNA from 1 species